AUUGAACGCUGGCGGCAUGCUUUACACAUGCAAGUCGAACGGUAACAGGUCAAGCUGACGAGUGGCGAACGGGUGAGUAAUGCAUCGGAACGUGCCCGAUCGUGGGGGAUAACGCAGCGAAAGCUGCGCUAAUACCGCAUACGAUCUGAGGAUGAAAGCGGGGGACCGUAAGGCCUCGCGCGAUCGGCGCGGCCGAUGUCAGAUUAGGUAGUUGGUGGGGUAAAGGCUCACCAAGCCGACGAUCUGUAGCUGGUCUGAGAGGACGACCAGCCACACUGGGACUGAGACACGGCCCAGACUCCUACGGGAGGCAGCAGUGGGGAAUUUUGGACAAUGGGCGCAAGCCUGAUCCAGCAAUGCCGCGUGCAGGAAGAAGGCCUUCGGGUUGUAAACUGCUUUUGUACGGAGCGAAAAGGCUCUCUCUAAUACAGGGGGCUCAUGACGGUACCGUAAGAAUAAGCACCGGCUAACUACGUGCCAGCCGCCGCCGUAA
rnacentral:rRNA from 1 species